rnacentral:tRNA from 1 species
GGGAAUAUGGCUUAGUGGAAGAGUGCUUGCCUAGAAUGCAUGAGGCCCUGGGUUCAAUUCCUCAGUACCA